UACAGAGACUGCAAGCGUUAUUCGGAUUCACUGGGCGUAAAGGGUGCGCAGGCGGCCAAGUGUGUGAGGCGUGAAAGCCUGGGGCUUAACUCCAGAAUUGCACCUCAAACUACUUGGCUAGAGCAUUGGAGAGGGUAGCAGAAUUCACGGUGUAGCAGUGAAAUGCGUAGAUAUCGUGAGGAAUACCAGAGGCGAAGGCGGCUACCUGGACAAUUGCUGACGCUCAGGCACGAAAGCGUGGGGAGCAAAAGGG
rnacentral:rRNA from 1 species